GACGAACGCUGGCGGCGUGCCUAAUACAUGCAAGUUGAGCGCUGAAGGUUGGUGCUUGUACCAAUUGGAUGAGCAGCGAACGGGUGAGUAACGCGUGGGGAAUCUGCCUUUGAGCGGGGGACAACAUUUGGAAACGAAUGCUAAUACCGCAUAAAAACUUUAAACACAAGUUUUAAGUUUGAAAGAUGCAAUUGCUUCACUCAAAGAUGAUCCCGCGUGUUAUUAGCUAGUUGGUGAGGUAAAGGCUCACCAAGGCGAUGAUACAUAGCCGACCUGAGAGGGUGAUCGGCCACAGUGGGACGGGGACACGGCCCAAACUCCUGCGGGAGGCAGCAGUAAGGAAUCUUCGGGAAUGGGCGGAAGUCUGACUGAGCAAAGCCGCGUGAGUGUAGAAGGUUUUCGGAUCGUGAAACUCUGUUGGUAGAGGAGAACGUUGGUGAGAGUGGAAAGCUCAACAAGUGACGGUAACUACCCAGAAAGCAACGGCUAACUACGUG
rnacentral:rRNA from 1 species